AGGCUUAUCUCCCCCAAGAGUCCACAUCGACGGGGAGGUUUGGCACCUCGAUGUCGGCUCAUCACAUCCUGGGGCUGUAGUAUGUCCCAAGGGUUGGAAUGCUCGCCCAUUAAAGUGGUACGCGAGCUGGGUUCAGAACGUCGUGAGACAGUUCGGUCCCUAUCCGUCGCAGGCGUAGGAAAUUUGAGAAGACCUGUCCUUAGUACGAGAGGACCGGGAUGGACGUACCUCUGGUGUACCAGUUGUUCUGCCAAGGGCAUGGCUGGGUAGCUAUGUACGGAAUGGAUAAGCGCUGAAAGCAUCUAAGCGCGAAGCCAACUUCAAGAUAAGAUUUCCCACCGCAAGGGUAAGACCCCAGAAAGACUAUCUGGUUGAUAGGUCGAAGGUGUAAGUGCAGCAAUGUAUUUAGCUUAUCGAUACUAAUAGGUCGAGGACUUGACCAAU
rnacentral:rRNA from 1 species